GACGAACGCUGGCGGCGUGCUUAACACAUGCAAGUCGAACGAAGUGGCGAACGGGUGAGUAACGCGUAAUCAACCUGCCCUUCAGAGGGGGACAACAGUUGGAACCGACACCUAAUACCGCAUACUGAAGGAGGGGCUGGCGCCUGAUUAGCUAGUUGGCGGGGUAACGGCCCACCAAGGCGAUGAUCAGUAGCCGGUCUGAGAGGAUGAACGGCCACAUUGGGGCUGAGACACGGCCCAGACUCCUACGGGAGGGAGCAGUGGGGAAUCUUCCGAAAUGGACGAAAGUCUGACGGAGCAACGCCGCGGGAGUGAUGACGGCCUUCGGGUUGUAAAGCUCUGUGAACCGGGACGCGGUACCGGAAUAGAGAGCCACGGCUAACUACGUGCCAGCAGCCGCGGUAAUUC
rnacentral:rRNA from 1 species